UACGGAGGGCGCGAGCGUUGAUCGGAAUUACUGGGCGUAAAGCGCGCGUAGGGGGUUUGGUAAGUCGGAUGUGAAAGCCCCGGGCUUAACCUGGGAACGGCAUUCGAUACUGCCUGACUGGAGUAUGGUAGAGGAAAGCGGAAUUCCCGGUGUAGCGGUGAAAUUCGUAGAUAUCGGGAGGAACAUCAGUGGCGAAGGCGGCCUUCUGGACCAAGACUGACACUGAGACGCGAAAGCGUGGGUAGCAAACAGG
rnacentral:rRNA from 1 species